UAUUAGUAGCUUUUUCUAUUUACCAUAGUGCAUGUUGGUUACUACUGUUGUUCAAUAUUGGGGUUCGAUUUGAUAAGUUUCCGAGACAUGGAUGUUGGAAUAAGGAUUGACGUAUUAUGUGAUAUUCAGGAUUGACCUUUCAAUGUGUGUUGUGGUUUCAAAUCUUGGUUGUGCUGUAUGGACCAGAAAAAACUAUGUCGAGUAAAUGAAAAAAGAUGACUAAAAAUUCAGUCACAAUCCUUAUCAUAGAGACAAGAUGUUAAAUAAUCAAUCCUGAAUGUCGUAUUGCAUAGGGACGUUAGACCUUAAUGCGUCAGAGACGGAGAGGCCGUCUUUUACUGUGAUAAAAUUGGAACCAGUUGUGGAAAGCUGGGUUUGGGUGUAGCUAUAUUCAUUAUCCCUUGUAGUUGUAAGGCAGAGAUAUAAUAUUGUAGAGCUUUUAAUAUGUUUUAAUAAAUAUUAAGUGAUA